GUCCUGGAUGUAGACUGGACCCGAUCCAUUCAGGUUAAAGACCAGUCCAGCUGCUGCAUUCUGGAUGAGCUGCAGAGGUCUAUCUAAUGAUGCUACGUGUACUCCUAUAAAUUUGCACAGAUCAUUCUUGGAACAUCUUCUUCAAGGUCAUUCAUUGCUGAUGCAGGCGACUGGGAUGACAAUAAAUCUGCAUCACAAUACCUGGAACCUGAAAUCAGAUCCGCUAAAUGGAAUUCACCCAUCAUUCACUUCAUCUUAUGGAGAGUGUUCCAGUGUCACACAAAUACACGGUACGUCAGUCACCACACAAGAGAAGUUGGCCGACCUGCAGGUACCGCAUCAAAACGGUGUCAAAAAGAACAUGAUGGAACCCAUAACGAGAUGUUCAUGUAGUGUAAACGGCAUACAACGAGCUGCACCAUAGGUGAGACAUUGUCCAACAUCUCAAGAGCGCACGUCUUGUUUCCCCUGCUUAGUAAUUAAUAGAAUGGUUGAUUAUUAACUCAACGCAGUCUAAUUGAGCAAACAAAAUGUUUUGUUUGUUUGGUGACCUCGGGUGAGAGAAACUGUAGCGCGCUCUUUACAUAGAUUCUGCAUCAGUAAUGGGGGCUGCAGGUGAUUGGUCCGAUAUCUGUGUCCAAAACAACUUUGUUCCUCUGACCCCCAGCAGACUCCAGCCGAGCAGAUAACUUGCGGGUUAUCGGAACAGAAUGGAUGCUAUUGACAAACUUUUGUCAGCAAGCUUUUUUAAUUAAAUUUCUCAGGCUGUGGAAGUGUAAAAUGUACAUCACUUCUGGCAGAGAAAAGAAAACUGGAUAAUGUGUAAGAUAAUGUUGCAUUGGACUGAAGUAAUUUGAGAUAAAACAACAGGCCUCAAGGCAAGACGUUAAAUAACUUCUGCAGUUUAAUGAGUUUGCAUGCCCCUUUGUCUACAAGUUUUAACUGACAUGUUCAAAGUAAUGCAAGUCUGGAACAACAACACAUGGUGCCUACAUUACCCACAAUGCAACUCAAAAGCUCAUUUGGAGAUAUCAGUCUGUUCUGCUUGUAUCAGCUAAUGACAUUACAAUCACGUCUUUCUUGCUCUAAAAAAACAUGUUUUUUUGCUUUGCUUUUCAAUCUUGUAGUCUCCAGACUCAACUAAGCAUUACUUCGUAAUUCCCACUGCUCCCCCUGAAGCCAGACAUGGCUUUGCACUUCUUUUCCACUUCUUUUUUCUAAAACAGAAACAGAAGAACAAGUUACUGCUGUUCCCCUUUAACCUUCUGAACCAGCAGCCGUAACAGCAUUUCAAUCUCUGGAUUAAUUAAUAAAAUGACUAGGAGGACAGCAGGCAUGAAAGUCAUGUAUUUGAAGCACCUGAGGUAAAUUAAUUUAUAUAUAACCAACCUGAAGGGCCGGUUGCGUUAAGGAGCACUACAGUUGCAUGAGAUGAAGAAUCUUUCUCAAAGAAGAAUUAUCAUUCUCCUCGGAUGCAGCUUUGGUCAGUUGUAUUAUUGUGAAAAUGAAGAAUAUGAUGGGAAUUAAGAAACAGACAAACACUAUUAUUAUAAAGCUUGUAUCUUUUAUAGUGGUGUGUGUGUGUGUGUGUGUUUAGGAAACCACAAUAAGAGUAGAUUUUAAAAGUAAAAUACAACUUAAUAUAAUGACAAAUAUGAACCAAGAGUAAUAUUGCAGCUCUCCUUUUAAUGUGUUGGUUUAUUUAUGACAUUGUUCAUAGUUUAUGACGUUAGAGGGUUGUUAAACUUGUUAAAUCCAUCAAGCAUCUUUCUCAUGAGCACACACACACACACACA
ensembl:lncRNA